UGGGACAGGGAGACCUAAAAGGCCCACUUCUCCUCCAGUGUCUCCCCAGGAGGAGGUGGCCCCAUGUCAACAGUUUGAGCCACACAGAUCACCAAGGGAGAGAAACGACACAGGCCACAGCCCAGAGGGCGGGGUGGCCUGGGCAGAAGUCAGGCCUUUCUCUUCUUUACUGAUCUCUUCUUUACUGAUCACGUGAAGUCUCCACCUGGCUCACAACUUGGCAAAAUUCUUCCUUCUCGGGACUGAGCGAGAGGUGAGUUCAGUCUGACCCGGGCUUGUCAGUUGAGCCUGAUGAAAGAAAAUGCAUCAGAAGGAAGGAAUGAUGUCUCCCUGAAUAGCCAGCUUGGCCCACAGAUCGGUGGCCAGAUUGCAUCAACCCUAAGCAGUCCCAACAUCUGAGCUAAUCAAGAUGGGAGUUCUAAGUGACAAGUGAGAACACACAGCUGUGGGAUCCCACCUGCUGUGCAACCUCCCUGGGCUUCAGAGAUCUCAUGCCCCCUAUAUCCAUCAGGAUGGUAUAAUUACACCCAACAGCUGCGCACAGUGCCUGGAAUCAGGAUCCCCCAAGCCUACUGGACCCCCAGUGUGCCCAGAACACUCUUCUGUCCCCUUAACCCGCCCUCGGAAGCGGCCCACAUGCCACACCUUCUCUGCCUGCUUUGUCACCUCAUUGGAUACCUGGGAGCACAGCAUUCGGAGGUGGAUUUAUUUCCAGAUGGAGAAAUUGAGUUCUAGGAGACGUGUGGUGGACAUUCGGGUUUGUUUGCUUGCUGGUCUCUUCUUAUGAUCCUUCUUCUCCCUGACUUUCUUUCGGAAAACCACCUUUCUAUACAUUUCCAGCAUUUCCAUGGAGGGGUUCAUCCCACUCCUUGCUCCAGAGGACAGCAAAUGAUCUAGGCCUGGCCAGUUCUCUUUCCCUCUUUCAGUUAUGGAUUCAGGAGGUGCACGUGUGACUCAAACUGAAGUAUCAUUUUCGGGAUUUGUGCUAGAAGUCUAAAGAAAGAGAUACUGUUUUUCUCCUGGACUUGAAAGCUGAUAGAUUGUAAGUAUGAAGCGUCUGGUGGCCAUUCUGUUGCUGGAAGAAGAGAACCUUCUGGAGUAUGAAGCCAAGAAAGAACAGCAGAGAUGAAAAGUGGAAAGACAUGGAUGUCUGAUGACUUCAUUUAACCCUACAACCUAGCUGUGCCUGAAGCUUUUCAAUGAUCUUAGCCAACAGAUUCCCUGUCUUGCUCAAGCUGGUUUGAGCGAGGCUACAGCCUUUCCUGCUGAUACCUUGGAACUUUGAGCCUGUUCUUAAUGGAGAGCCUCCUGUUCUUCUCGAGAUGCUAAGGUCCAGGAAUGGAUUGAUUCCUGCUUCUUUUUCCAGUGAUUAAGACAUGGCAUAGAUUUUAUUGGACUGUACUCACCCUUCCUCUUGUAAUGAUGUGAGACAAUAAAACACCAACAUGAUGAGAUGAAGUGAGAGCAAGGACGUAGGUGUUGUUAUGCAGCCAUUGGCUACUAGUGACCUUAUGACAGUAUUUUAGAAGAAGGAUCAUCUACUUCCAGACUGUGGUUGACCACAAAUAAUGCUAACAGAUCUCUUCUAACAGUUGAAUUACAUAAACUUUAUAAAAGUGACCACUUCCCAUUUGUUUAUUCAGCCUCUACAAAUGGCAUCCAAAGUGACGUAUUAACUUUUUAAAGGAAGAAAUUUGAAAAUGUACUUUAGAAUGCCCCAUUUUAAAAUAUAGCACAAAAGGGAAAGAAAACUGAAGACAAAAACCGGAGGGAAAAGGUCACAAUAACCACAACACAGAAACUGAAGUCAUGUCAAGCAAUGUCAUAUAACAUACACAUGUGUAAUGAUUAUGGUUCCUGCAGACCCCACGACUGAGCAUGGAAUGGUUUUACAGUGUGAGCUCUUCUUCAAACCCAACCCUGGAUCCUCGGGCAGGCAACAAGGAAAGAGAAAGGGAGUCCUGGUUCCCACCUGACUUAGGAGCUGAGAAUGGAGAGUGUGAUUGUGCACACUUAUGCUGGCAACGUGACACUCCUCUCAAGACACUAACGGUGACUCCCUCAAAAAGGAAGCAUCGUCACAAUAAUAAUGAAAGUGGCAUUCUUUCUCUAAAUUUGAUCUGGCCAAAAGUAGAUUCAAGCUGAGUUACUCCCUUCCCAUCCCCAGUCUCCAAGCUCUGUAGAGUCAUACAGUUUGCAUUUGUAGAAAUAGCAUAAAUUUCUAUAGAGAAGCAGCACUUAGCUUCUUUUGAAGCUUUCACUUUCAACAGAAAGUUGAAGAUGUUCUCCAGCCUCAAGUGAAGCUCUUCCAUUGAAGAAAGCAGAUUCUGGAGGAAGACAAGUUCUGGAAGACUGAGAUGACUAUGGAGCUUUGACUUUCAAAGUGGUGUGGCGUUUCCCAGUAGCCAACACAGCCUGGUCAGCUCUUAAAAGCAAAAAUUAAGGACUUAGGGACUUGAAGGCAAAGAUGCCUGAAGAUAACAGGGGCUUGAGACUCUUCUACAAAAGAAAACCAACAGCAAAUUAGCACCAGAGUAAAUAGAGAGUGAUCCCUUGAGGAAGAGCCAUAGAAUUCCCCUGUAGAUCCACAGGAGGGUUGGAGAGUUUUCAAAAACUUGAUAUGCUGCUAACCUAUGGUGUAGACAGAGCUCUGAGCUUCAAAGGGCUGGGCUGUGUCAAGGUGAGCAGACACAAUGACCCCAUGCUAGGGUCUCCACAUCUGUUGUUUAUGGCCAUGCCUCCAUGCCAUAAUCAGAAGGCAUAGAUCUCAAAAGAAGGAAAGUCCUAAUCUGCCCCUGGGUAGUAGGAAGUGUUCUAAUUAUUACCUACAUCAGCACAGGGAUUCCUGGCCUCCCCCUGCCAAAACCUAGAGAGUCCAAGGAGACUUUGUCAGAGACCCUGGGGAAGCAGAUAGGGAUUCUCAAAGCAGCCACAGGGGACUGGGGACAGAAUCAGGCCAGCCAAGUCCCAGCUUGUAGAAAAUGUUCAACCAAGGACAGGCUGAUUGUCAGGUGGGGGAAUGCCCUGCUCAACUUUUGAGCCUUGUGAUUUUAGAUCACAUAGAAGAUUAUAGAAGCUUUAUCAACUUUUCUCUUUCAAUAAAGCAUUCUUUUGGUUCAUGCUAGCCAGGGUCAUUGCUGGACGUUGAAGUGUUGAAAUCAGCCUCCUGAGCAGGCAAGGUAACAUUUGUGGGAGCCCAGAGAAGUGUGUCACACUCAUGAAGUUUUUGAGUCCCUUCUGUCAUGCGAUCUUUGGUCUCAGGCUCACUCUAGAGAAAUCUAAGGGGAACUUCAUGUGGGAAGCAAAGGCAACGUUUAAAGACUGAAGUGCCUGCAAGAGGCAUGGCAAGGCUGAGGAGUCUUAAUUCAGGGCCUGUGAAGGCCCAGCAGGCAGCUUCAUUCAAGAGGAGAAGCCAAGCUAGUUUAAGAGAGUGUGGUGCCCACAGAGGGACGCCAUGUUGAAUGUGAGCAGGACUCCCAGCUGUGUCCUACAGGAUACAGGCCCAUAGCCAUGAAAUUUGGGGGAGAAAUGUAACAUCCAAAAAUUUCAGAUGGAAUCUACUCAUUUUUAACAGUUGUGUUGCAAUAUAAUUGACAUACAAUAAAUUGUGCCUAUUUAAAAUGUACAACUUAGUAAGCACAUUCACUUGGGAAUCAGAACCAUACUGGAGAUGGUGAACAUAUCCAGCACUCCUGAGAGUUAUUUUGUGAGCCUUUAUAAUCAGUCCUUCUCACCCUCAUCCCCAUUCCCGGACAAGCACAGAUCCACUUUCUGCUUCCACAGGUUCGUUUGCAUUCUCUAGAAUUUUAUAUAAUUGGAAUCAUAGAGUAUGUACUUUUUGGGGUCUUUUUUUUUUUUUGCAUUCAGCAUAAUUAUCUGAGACUCAUUCAUGAUGUGUGUAUUAGUAGUUCAUUCCUUCUUUAAACGGCUGAGUAGUAUUCUGUUAUAUGUGUAUGCCUCAAUUUGUUUAUUCACUCAUCAGUUAACAAACGUUUCAUUUCGGUUGCUUCUAGCUUGGCAGGGGGGGCUAGAAUAAAGUAAGUCUUUGGACAUGUGCUUU